ACCUGCUUUAGUUCCACAUAAAUUGCAAGGAAAUCAAAACUUACUCGCAGGUUUCAUAUUUUUGUUACAUAACCUUUUAGUUUUAAGGAAAAAUGCAUGCACCUCCUGCGUACCAAGAGAUAAGUUACGUGGAUCAUGUUCGCAGACGCCACGAAGAAAAAGGGUGCCUUUAUGCUUGCUUGUUCGCUCUGUGUUGCUGCUUCUGCUGCUAUGAGACCUGUGAGUGCUGUUUGGAUGUAGUGUGUUGCUGCUGCCCUUAGAUAAUAUCAUCAUAUAAUAUAAUAUUAUAUAUAUAUAUUAUAUUAUAUAUAUAUAUAUAUAUAUAUGCUUUCUUCUAUAUAUCUAUAUAUAUCUAAAGUAAUAAUAAUUACAAAUGAAGAUGCACAUGAACUUUUUGAGUAUGUUACUUUUGACUUAUGGUUGUGUUUGUAAAUUUACUUUAUGAUCAACGGGUACCCUUAACCUUUUUCA